rnacentral:SRP_RNA from 1 species
GGGUGGGACCGGCGCGGCAGUGUCCUUCGAACCCCGCCAGGUCCGAGAGGAAGCAACGGUAAGGAGGUAACAUUGGGCGCCGCCGGCAAUCCUAUUCGGA